rnacentral:sRNA from 1 species
AAGUGUCGGAUGUCUUCCUCCUCCCAGACACCGACGAGGAAUGCGGUACACCUCCUCCCGUGCCGUAUUCGAAAUCGAAGCCCGCUGCCUCCUCCUCCCGGCAGCGGGCUUUUUCU